CGCCAAAAUGAUGAGAGUAUUUUAAGUUAUCCCUGUCUGAAAGAAUUGUUACAAAAAAAAACUUUUCGAGUGUUGAUAACGACAACUUCUGAUCUUGCA
rnacentral:snoRNA from 1 species